CUGCAGCUAAUUAAGCUGACUAGGUUGCUCUUCCAUGGGGGCCUGGUGUGCAAAGCCAUAAACAGCAGCUUCUUCUGUAAGUAUAUAGCCUGUUGCAUGUAUGAGUUACCAUCAGAGGCUUGGGCCAGUC